UACGUAGGGUGCAAGCGUUGUCCGGAAUUAUUGGGCGUAAAGAGCUCGUAGGCGGUUUGUCGCGUCGAAUGUGAAAACCCGGGGCUCAACCCCGGGCCUGCAUUCGAUACGGGCAGACUAGAGUUCGGUAGGGGAGUCUGGAAUUCCUGGUGUAGCGGUGAAAUGCGUAGAUAUCUGGAGGAACACCGGUGGCGAAGGCGGCAUCCUGGACCAAUACUGACGCUGAGGAGCGAAAGCCAGGGGAGCAAACGGG
rnacentral:rRNA from 1 species